UACGUAGGUGGCGAGCGUUAUCCGGAUUUACUGGGUGUAAAGGGUGUGUAGGCGGGACGGCAAGUCAGAUGUGAAAAUCAUGGGCUUAACCUAUGAAGUGCAUUUGAAACUGCUGUUCUUGAGAGUGGGAGAGGUAAAUGGAAUUCCCGGUGUAGCGGUGAAAUGCGUAGAUAUCGGGAGGAACAUCAGUGGCGAAGGCGAUUUACUGGACCACAACUGACGCUGAGACACGAAAGCGUGGGGAGCAAAC
rnacentral:rRNA from 1 species